rnacentral:rRNA from 1 species
CCUACGGGUGGCAGCAGUAGGGAAUAUUGCUCAAUGGGGGAAACCCUGAAGCAGCAACGCCGCGUGGAGGAUGAAGGUUUUCGGAUUGUAAACUCCUUUUGUUAGAGAAGAUAAUGACGGUAUCUAACGAAUAAGCACCGGCUAACUCCGUGCCAGCAGCCGCGGUAAUACGGAGGGUGCAAGCGUUACUCGGAAUCACUGGGCGUAAAGAGCGCGUAGGCGGGAUAGCAAGUCAGAUGUGAAAUCCUAUGGCUUAACCAUAGAACUGCAUUUGAAACUGUUAUUCUAGAGUAUGGGAGAGGUAGGCGGAAUUCUUGGUGUAGGGGUAAAAUGCGUAGAGAUCAAGAGGAAUACUGAUUGCGAAGGCGACCUGCUAGAACAUAACUGACGCUGAGGCGCGAAAGCGUGGGGAGCAAACAGGAUUAGAUACCCCGGUAGUC